ensembl:lncRNA
CAGGAAGUGUCAACAACAUCAUAUUCAUGGGCAGGAAGUGUCAACAACAUCAUAUUCAUGGGCAGGAAGUGUCAACAACAUCAUAUUCAUAGGCAGGAAGUGUCAACAACAUCAUAUUCAUGGGCAGGAAGUGUCAACAACAUCAUAUUCAUGCAUAAAAAAACAAAUAAUGAAAGAAAAGCUUUGCAAACUUGAAUUUUGUAACGAUAGUGUGGAAAAAUGAUUGUUAACGAUCAAUAAUGACAAACCUCCUGGCAUUGACAACUUAGAUGGAAAGCUACUGAGGGUGGUAGCUGACUCUAUAGUCACUCCAAUCUGUCAUAUCUUUAAUCUGAGUCUAGAGGAAAGUGUUUGUCCUCAGGUCUGGAGGGAAGCCAAAGUCAUUCUGCUACCCAAGAGUGGUAAAGAGGCUUUUACUGGUUCUAACAGCAGACCAAUCAGCUUGCUGCCAGCUCUGAACAUACUGUUGGAAAAAAUGGUGUUUGACCAAAUACAAUGCUAUUCUCUGUGAACAAAUUAACAACAGACUUUCGGCAUGCUUAUAGAGAAGGGUACUCAACAUGUACUGCACUGACACAAAUGACUGAUGAUUGGUUGAAAUAAAUUGAAAAUAAGAAGAUUAUGAGAGCUGCACUAUAGAUUUCAGUGCUACCUUUGGUAUUAUUGACCGUAACCUGUUCGUGCCGUGGGGGAGAUCUUCGUGGGCUAUACUCGGCCUUGUCUCGGGAUAGGCAAAGUGGGUCUCCUGUCUUAUCCGGUUUCCUGUGUGAAUUUAAGUACUAGGUUUCUUUCUAGGUUCCUGCCUUUCUAGGGAGGUUUUCCUAGCCAUCAUGCUUCUACACCUGCAUUUUAGGCUGGGUUUCUGUACAGCACUUUGUGAUAUCAGCUGAUGUAAAAGAGCUUUAUACCGUUCUACCGUUCAAAAGUUUGGGGUCACUUAGAAAUGUCCUUGUUUUUGAAAUAAAAGCACAUUUUUUGUCCAUUACAAUCAUGUCAAAUUGAUCAGAAAUACAGUGUAGACAUUGUUAAUGUUGUAAAUGACUAUUGUAGCUGGAAACGGCAGAUUUUUUAUGGAAUAUCUACAUAGGCGUACAGAGGUCCAUUAUCAGCAACCUUCAAUCCUGUGUUCCAAUGGCACGUUGUGUUAGCUAAUCCAAGUUGAUCAUUUUAAAAGGCUAAUUGAUCAUUAGAAAACCCUUUUACAAUUAUGUUAGCACAGCUGAAAACUGUUGUUCUGAUUAAAGAAGCAAUAAAACUGGCCUUCUUUAGACUAGUUGAGUAUCUGGAGCAACAACAUUUAUGGGUUUGAUUACAGGCUCAAAACAUCCAGAAAAAAAAACCUUUCUUCUGAAACUCAUCAGUCUAUUCUUGUUCUGAGAAAGGAAGUCUAUUCCAUGCGAGAAAUUGUCAAGAAACUGAAGAUCUCGUACAAAGCUGUGUACUACUCCCUUCACAGAACAGAGCAAACUGGCCCUAACCAGAAUAGAAAGAGGAGUGGGAGGCCCCGGUGCACAACUGAGCAAAAGGACAAGUACAUUAUAGUGUCUAGUUUGAGAAACAGACACCUCACAAGUCCUCAACUGGCAGCUUCAUUAAAUAGUACCCGCAAAACACCAGUCUCAACGUCAAUGGGAUGCUGGCCUUCUAGGCAGAGAUCCUCUGUCCAGUGUCUGUGUUCUUUUGCCCAUCUUAAUCUUUUAUUUUUAUUGGCCAGUCUGAGAUAUGGCUUUUUCUUUGCAACUCUGCCUAGAAGGCCAGCAUCCCGGAGUCGCCUCUUCACUGUUGACGUUGAGACUGGUGUUUUGUGGGUACAAUUUUUUUUUUUAUAAAGGUGCCUGUUGAAUUUUUUUCUGCCUAAACGAGUCUGACCACUAAUCAACGACCACUAUGAUGACACACCAAAUGUGUUUGAUGGAUCGCAGGAAAAGAGCAGAAAUAGGCUUUUGUAAGCUACAGUCCAAGCUAUGUCUUCCAAUGGUGCGACUGCAGUCGGCAUCAAAACAUCAUCCAAUUUCAAUGACUGCUUAGAUGUAAGGACGACAGCAGCGGUGUAGCUUACGGAUACGGAUACUAUCCUACAGUUUUUUGUGUCACCUCUAUUAGACUCCCAUUAGAAUCCUAUUGGACUCCGAUCAGAAUCCUAUCGGAAUCCCAUUAGAAUCCUAUUGGACUCCUAUCAGAAUCCCAUUAGAAUCCUAUUGGACUCCUUCCUAUCAGAAUCCUAUUAUAAUCCUAUUGGACUCCUUCCUAUCAGAAUCCUAUUAUAAUCCUAUUGGACUCCUAUUAGAAUCCUAUUGGACUCCUAUCAGAAUCCUAGUAGAAUCCUAUUGGACUCCGAUCAAAAUCCUAUUAGAAUCCUAUUGGACUCCUAUUAGCAUCCUAUUGGACUCCUAUUAGAAUCCUAUUAGACUCAUAUUAGAAUCCUAUUAGAAUCCUAUUGGACUCCUGUCAGAAUCCCAUUAGAAUCCUAUUGGACUGCUAUUGGACUCCUAUUAGGUCAGGUGUAUAUUAGUACUGGUCUCAGGUCAUUAAUACAAAUAAUACAAUUAAUAAGUUCGGGAGUAAAAAUGUGCCUAACAAGUCACAUAAUAAGUUGCAUGGACUCAAUAAUAGUGUUUAACUCCAUCUAUCUCUCCUGUUAUAGUAAAUCAGGCAUCUAUCUCUCCUGUUAUAGUAAAUCAGGCAUCUAUCUCUCCUGUUAUAGCAAAUCAGGCAUCUAUCUCUCCUGUUAUAGUAAAUCAGGCAUCCAGCACCCCUGUUAUAGUAAAUCAGGCAUCUAUCUCUCCUGUUAUAAUAAAUCAGGCAUCCAGCACCCCUGUUAUAGUAAAUCAGGCAUCUAUCUCUCCUGUUAUAGUAAAUCAGGCAUCUAUCUCUCCUGUUAUAAUAAAUCAGGCAUCCAGCACCCCUGUUAUAGUAAAUCAGGCAUCUAUCUCUCCUGUUAUAGUAAAUCAGGCAUCUAUCUCUCCUGGUAUAGUAAAUCAGGCAUCUAUCUCUCCUGUUGUAGUAAAUCGGGCAUCCAGCACCCCUGUUACAGUAAAUAAGGCAUCCACACCCCUGUUAUAGUAAAUAAGGCAUCCACACCCCUGUUAUAGUAAAUAAGGCAUCCACACCCCUGUUAUAGUAAAUAAGGCAUCCACACCCCUGUUAUAGUAAAUAAGGCAUCCACACCCCUGUUAUAGUAAAUAAGGCAUCCACACCCCUGUUAUAGUAAAUAAGGCAUCCACACUCCUGUUAUAGUAAAUAAGGCAUCCACACCCCUGUUAUAGUAAAUAAGGCAUCCACACCCCUGUUAUAGUAAAUCUGCCUUUAGAAGAUCAGUCCUGUUGAAAAUAGGAUUAAGAGGAAGGCAGGCAGGAAGGCACACCAGGCCAGCCAACAUGCCAGGCCAGCCAACAUGCCAGGCCAGCCAACAUGCCAGGCCAGCCGACACAGACAAACGAUUUUGACAGCCAAUGUCUAUGAGCUCUUGGCAUGGAGUAAUACUAGGAAUUAGGCUUACUACCAGGGGAUUCUUCGCUCUCACAGCAUGGGAUAAUUAUUAAAAAUAUUCUUUAUUUAACUCGGCUAGUCAGUUAAGAACAAAUUCUUAUUCACAAUGACGUCCCAACCGGGGAACAGUGGGUUAACUGCCUUGUUCAGGGGAACAGUGGGUUAACUGCCUUGUUCAGGGGAACAGUGGGUUAACUGCCUUGUUCAGGGGAACAGUGGGUUAACUGCCUUGUUCAGGGGAACAGUGGGUUAACUGCCUUGUUCAGGGGAACAGUGGGUUAACUGCCUUGUUUAGGGGAACAGUGGGUUAACUGCCUUGUUCAGGGGAACAGUGGGUUAACUGCCUUGUUUAGGG